UGGGUCUAAUACCGGAUAGGAACCAUCUUUAGUGUGGUGGUUGGAAAGUUUUUUCGGUGUAGGAUGAGCUCGCGGCCUAUCAGCUUGUUGGUGGGGUAAUGGCCUACCAAGGCGGCGACGGGUAGCCGGCCUGAGAGGGUGUACGGCCACAUUGGGACUGAGAUACGGCCCAGACUCCUACGGGAGGCAGCAGUGGGGAAUAUUGCACAAUGGGCGCAAGCCUGAUGCAGCGACGCCGCGUGGGGGAUGAAGGCCUUCGGGUUGUAAACUCCUUUCGCUAGGGACGAAGCUUUUUGUGACGGUACCUAGAUAAGAAGCACCGGCUAACUACGUGCCAGCAGCCGCGGUAAUACGUAGGGUGCGAGCGUUGUCCGGAAUUACUGGGCGUAAAGGGCUCGUAGGUGGUUUGUCGCGUCGUCUGUGAAAUUCCGGGGCUUAACUCCGGGCGUGCAGGCGAUACGGGCAUAACUUGAGUGCUGUAGGGGUAACUGGAAUUCCUGGUGUAGCGGUGAAAUGCGCAGAUAUCAGGAGGAACACCGAUGGCGAAGGCAGGUUACUGGGCAGUUACUGACGCUGAGGAGCGAAAGCAUGGGUAGCGAACAGGAUUA
rnacentral:rRNA from 1 species